UGACGGGAUGAAUUCACUCUGGAAUCUCGUUCGGCUGAAUGCUGCUGUUGAGAAUCGGACUCUGAGUGUC
rfam:Alligator mississippiensis ScZkoYb_2987, whole genome shotgun sequence.